UUAGUUUGUCUUAAGUCAAACUUCUUCAAGUUUGACCAAGUUUAUAGAAAAAUGUACCAACAUUUUUAACACCAAACAAAUAUAUUCAAUGAUGAUUUUAAUGAAAAUAAUUUGUGUUGUAGAUGCUACUACGUUUUUCUAUAUACUUGGUUAAACUUAAAGAAGUUUGACUUAGGAGAAAACUAA
rnacentral:pre_miRNA from 1 species